GAUGAACGCUGGCGGCGUGCCUAAUACAUGCAAGUCGCGCGAAGCGGGGACGGGUGAGUAACACGUGGAUAACCUCCUCUAAGACUGGGAUAACUUCGGGAAACCGGAGCUAAACCGGAUCCUUAUAGAUGGAUCUGCGCUGCAUUAGAUAGUUGGUACGGUAACGGCUUACCAAGGCAACGAUGCAUAGCCGACCUGAGAGGGUUAUCGGCCACACUGGAACUGCGACACGGUCAAGACUCCUACGGGAGGCAGCAGUAGGGAAUCUUCCGCAAUGGGCGAAAGCCGGACGUAGCAACGCCGAGUGAGUGAUGAAGGUAUUGGGAUCGUAAAACUCUGUUAUUGGGGAAGCGGUACCUAAUCAGAACGCCACGGCUAACUACGUGCCAGCAGCCGCGGUAAUUC
rnacentral:rRNA from 1 species